AGAUGGAUUUCUAAAUGUUAAAUAUUUAAAGUAGAAUGAGGAAGAGAUUUUUAUCUCUUCUAGGCCAAGCAGCUUCUGGGCAGAAUUAGUCAUGGUCUUGCUCUAUUUCAAGUGUAAAGGCUCAAGAUGCAGGGGAAGGCAAACUGGUGAGUGCCAGGGCAAGAGGGAAGAGGUCCUUUGUCCUUGGUUGGAAGUCCUGAGAGCUGUCUAGAUGCUAACCCUGCAGAACUUCCUGGAGUUUGGGGCAACAGUAGCCCUGAAUUACAUUAUAGAAUCUGGAUUUGGAAAUGGAAAAGGGGACUCCCAACAGAUCUCUUGAGGCCAACUCAUGGCUAAGAACCUGUGAUUUAGAGGACACAUUUGAUGGAAUCAAUUUUGGUGAGGGAUUUUUCUGCUAAAAGUGAUCACAUUAAAGGAAGAAUAAGGAGUAUGACAUCUAAAGAGAUGUCAGUCUCUAAAACAAAUGUGUGUGUGUGUGUGUGUGUGUGUGUGUGUGUGUUUAAGCAAGCUCUACACCCAAUGUGGGACUUGAAGUCAUGACCCUUAGAUCAAGAGUUGCAUGCUCUACUAACUGAGCCAGCUAGCUGUCCCUCUAAAACAAAUAUAUUUUAGAGACUUGUUUGAAUUCAAUCUAAGAUUAUUUUCAAACUUAUAUAAGGUAGUGCUGGUGUUUUACAGAGGAUUCUUAUAUUUUAGACUAAAUACAGUAUGAUUUUUUUCUGACCUGAAAAUUGCAGGUAGUAGAAGGGGGAGAUUAGCCAAACCUACAGGGGAGGCAAUUGGAUAUUGGAGGAAUUUCUGCUCUUUUCUGUCAGAGUAGAAAGUGCAAUGAUGGGUUUUUGGUGAAGGAAGAAACUAAUGACAUAGGAUAGGGAUUUAAAUCCAAGAAAAGUAAAUGUGUAGAAAGGAGGAUAAUUAUGCAAGAGGAAGGGAGGAACGGUGGAAAGGUGAUCUUGAGAUGAGGACUAUGGCAGGACAAGUGACAAAUGCCAAUUCUUCCCCUAGAUGCAAUUCUGACAGUUCCUCUCCUUUUUUGUUUUUCCUUUCACUGCAGGCAUUCCUCAAAGAUUGGGACUUUUUUCUCACUCACAGCAGUGCCUCACAAAUACAAAUUGUUCAUAUGAUUUCCUUGCCAGGACACACACACAUUAAAUGAAGACUUCGGUCUCUAGCAUUGGUCUCUUGCCCUUUUUUUUUUUUUCUUCUGUAGUUGAAUUUCCAAUAGCUAACCAUCCUGGACACACACAAUACCAAAUUUGCUUUGUGUAUUCCCAUUCCUAAAAUGCUUUUAAAAAAGAUUUUAUUUAUUUAUUUAUUCAUGAGAGACACAGACAGAGAAAGGCAGAGACACAGAGGGAGAAGCAGGCUCCAUGCAGGGAGCCCGAUGUGGGACUUGAUCCGGGGUCUCCAGGAUCAGGCCUUGGGCUGAAGAUGGCGCUAAACCAGAGCCACCAGGCUGCCCCCUAAAAUGUUUCGUAAUCAAAAUUUAGUUGUACCUCCCCAGCCAAUUCUUCUAUCUCUGAUGAUUCAACCCCUUAGGAAAUUUCUUGGGAGUUAUGGUCAGAUUAUGAUUCUGAUGUUCGUGUCUUCUCUACGUUUUCUGGUGAGGUCUUAAUAAGCCCAUCAGGCUGUUUCUUCUUGGUGGCUAUAUAUUUCCUUGAAGGCUUAUUUUUUUCUGUGUCUGCCUAGUACUUGAUAACUUGAUAGUGUUUGCUAGACAAUAAGCAAACAUUUUUAAUAAUGUCAAUAAAUUCAACUGACGUAAAAAGAAAAAGUUGGCAUUUCUGUCUGCUGGAAAAUAAGGGCCUUUUCCUGUUGGAAAUGCACAAGCCACUACAUGGAAGAUAUGAGCAGUUGAGAAGGAUGAGGUCUCACACUUUUUGGGAGGAAACAUGGCAACCACUGUCUUUAAAAAAAAAAA
rnacentral:lncRNA from 1 species